UCAGUCAUGUGAACAAAACGACGACUUACGAAAAUCCAUCAGUGAGAAAUAUGGAGCCGAUAGCGAUUCCAGAGCCCCGUUCCGUCACCCUCGAGCGAUCGACAAUAAUGGGAUUUGGUUUUGUGGCGGGAUCGGAAAAGCCCGUCGUUGUGCGUUUCGUCACGGAAGGUGGUCCAAGCGUCGAUAAGCUUCUCCCUGGGGACCAAAUUCUUGCGGUAAACGGCGAAGAUGUAAAGGAUGCGCCAAGAGAACAUGUAAUUGCUUUAGUGAGAGCGUGUGCAACAACCGUAUGUCUAAUUGUGUGCCAGCCUAUGCAAAAAAGCGGUGCUCGCAAGUCCACAUUCUUAUCAGCUAGCAAAAGGGCGAGACUUCGAAGUAAACCAUCAAGGGUUCGUUUUGCAGAAAGUGUAUGCGUGAAUGGUGCCCCGCUGUUUCCACCGUCCGCGUUUUCUCUGGGUGACGUUUGCGUGCCUCCGAUGGCAAAUGUUCUCAAAGUGUUUUUAGAAAACGGUCAAACAAAAUCAUUUAAAUACGACGCAUGGACGACGGUGCAUGACGUUGUAACAUCGCUGCAAACAAAGCUAUGCCUGCAAGCUACGGAGCAUUUCAGUCUUGUUGUUGAGCACAUCAAAUCGUUGAAGCGUAAUAAGUUAACGUUGUUGGAUCCCACAGAUACUUUAGCUAGGAUAGCAUCAAAACCGGGUGCACAUAAAUUACGGUGUUUAUUUCGAGUGGCUUUUGUGCCUUCUUCGGCAGCAGCCCUUGCACAAAGAGAUCUUGCAGCUCUCGACUAUUUAUACACACAGUGUUGUAAUGACGUAACACAAGAAAGAUUCGCACCGGAAUUACAAUACGAUACUGCCUUACGUCUAGCUGCAUUACAAAUCUACCAACACGCACUAUCAAACAACAUCUCUGCUGCCAAACUUACCGUUAAGACUGUUGAAAGAGACUUUGGUUUGGAACGUUUUGUGCCUGCUUCACUUUUAGAAAAUAUGAAACGUAAGGAAAUACACAAAGUCUUGUCGCACUUUUUCAAAUUGCACGCCAGUAUGGCCGGUCCUGGUAAACAAUUAACUGCCCUCCAAGUUAAAAUACAUUAUUUGGAUCUUAUUAGUCAACUACCAAGUUACGGUGCCAAAUGUUUCUCUGCCGGUCCCCGGGCAGAUGCAAUGGAACGAGUCAUACUAGUUAGUCCCAAAUUUGGAUUAAGCCAAAUAAUUGGUACCAGGAACUCUGUGCCCCUACCGAUCGCCAAUUUAGAAGAUAUUAGACGAGUAGAAGUAAGAAAUGAGGAUGAGUUAAGCCGAGCAGUAUUAAUCAAAUUACAUAAUGAGAGAAUAAUUACAAUAACGUUGGAAGAAAGAGACGCUUCUGAGCUCGUUUUAGUAUUAAGCGGUUACUUUAAGUUAGCUACAGGUCAAAAUCUGCCAGUGGAUCAGGAAGAAUCGCCUCCUCUAGAAGAUUUGGCCCCGCCAUAUUUGUCGCAACAUAGAGUGGUGCCGGAAAAAUGGAGCUAUAUUAGUCAAAGCCAGGUGCGUAGUAUCUGCUUCGCGGUUCAUCCCGCUUAUCAAGGCAUCAACCACAAGACCAACGGUUUGUACAACACUGUGGGAAGGCAGAGCAAGCCGCCCUUCAUGCCCGGAUUCAGUUUAGAUAGUAAUAUGAAUAGUUCAAUGACAAACAAUAGGAAUAAUCAAAUUAGGAAUCAUUUCCGAUUUUGUGAUAGUAAGUCAAAUUCAUAUGACUUGGAGAGAGUUGCUUCCAUGGAGAUUUUAGAAACUUCGCAAAGUGAUGAUGUAUUGAGACGAGUGCAAGAGAUGCAUCAGUUAGUUGAGAAUUCUGAAAAAUAUUUAAAUGAGCAAGAGGAGUUUAACAGGCAUGCUUCUACAGAGUGGCAAGAAACGAGUGUCGAUAUCGAGAGCGACUCUGAAAGCCAGUUUGCUGACGACGCACCCGGAAAAUUAAAACACAGUGACUCUUUGCUGCUGUUAACGCAAGGUCGUAAGUACUCGGAUGAGACGAAACACUCAUAUACAAAUACUACCAUUGAAAUUUUACGUAGCGAAAACAACCAUUCAGAAAGUGAUAACGACUCAGUGUGCACGCCACACAAUUCGCCAAAGCAUAGGAUAAAUAAACUAGGUGACAAUUUUAGUAAGAGUAGAGUAAGCUUCGGAUUACGUAGUCCAGAUAAUGCGGGUUCUAAAGAAGAGGAUUUAAAGGCAUACUUGGAAAGGUUAAAAGACAGUUGCAACAAUUCCGAUUUAGAUAGUUUAACAAAUCUCUACUACGAUUUUGAUCCAGAUAUUAUAGAUUUAACUUUAAUACCUCCCCCAGUAACACCUGAUGAAUUGGAUUGUGCCUUACCAACACCAAUCAAUAAUCCUCCGAGCAAAUUUGCCGAUUCGGUUGAAAACUUGAAAAUUAUCGACCGAAACAUUUUAAGCGACAAUAUUGACUUGGAAGAAUUUUUGGCCAGCGUCACGGUUCCUCCACCCAUUCAGAAAGUUACGCCGGCAGUAGAGCUGACGCCUGAGGAGAUAAUGUCUUUCAUAAUUCCACCACCUCCUGCUCUUAGACGAAGUUUCGAGAACUUGUCGCUUCCAAAUCAUAUUCCAACAAGUGUUUCUAAACAAGAAGAUGUGCAUAAACGCACAGAAUAUCAACACACAAACGGAAGCCUUAUGAGAAGAAAUAGCAAUGGAAGCGUUAAAUCUAACAUAAUAGAAUACGCAACGGUUGAAAGGAAGGGGGCAUUUUCCUGCUGUGCGAAGGGCAAGGUGGAAAAAUCGAACAAAGAGCAUUGGGACAGUUCAAAUGCGUUAUGCCCACCUCCGCGAAGGUCAUCCGAUCAGAAGCCACCAGAACGCCCACCAAAAACUCUGAGUCAAGAGCGCCAACGAUCGUAUUCGCUAACAAACAAUAUCGCGCAUCACAAUUUACAAGCAGAACCACCACCAACGUUGCCUCCACGGGGCGAAUUGAACUCGCACGCACCUUCCCACCUGUAUUUACCACCAAAGAAACCUCCACUACCUCCCGUGCCUCCGUUAGAGGUCUUAAGACGUAAGAACAGCAAUCCGCAACCAAAAAAUAGCACAGAGUCUCGCACAGCGUGUAUCGGUUCGCCCCAUUUACAGAGGAAUAGGAACGUUUACAACGCGAUCGAAUCUGGUUUUGGCAUUUCGGACGAUCGAAAAUUAAACUCGGUUUCAACGGCGAUUAGUACACCAACAUCGCCACAUUUAGGCAGAGGAGCACAACUAUCAAUGGUACCAGUCGAAUGUCCAGAUUCACCUAAAACACAAAAGAACCGCAGUUUUUCCCAGGAGUCACCUUCGUCUCGUCAAUCGAAUGGCCAUGCGCAUAUACGUAGCUACUCUGAGUCUGCCAGCAGUGAUAGGAGUUGGACGAAAACUGCGGACGAAUCGAUACAGCGAAAUGGUGGAGUUUGUGUCAAAAACGGAUGUAUUUCGACACGAGAAAAUUUGCUUACAAAGACGGAUGCGGCCAUGGGCAGUUUGCUGAUACGGCUCGAUCAAGUUGCCGCUCAGUGUAACGCCGCUCAGGUACACGGAGGAGGUAGUCUUAUGAGUGAAGAAAAAUUUCAGAUCGCGAAAGACGAAUUAACAUCACAGUCUCUUCAACUAGUAACGUCAAGUAAGAUGCUAGUAAUUGCCAUGUCCGACACCACACUACCCGAUUUACCCGAGAAUUUAGCCAUUUGUUUAACGAUACUAAGGAGACUGACUGAACUUUGUCAAGAUUUGGCGAAUCACACAACGGCACCUUUACAGACGCGAAACCUAAUCAUAAAAGUGCACGAUGUUACGGCAGCAUUCCGACAUUUAUUAACGUCCAAUAUAGAUCGAAGUUCGCAAGCUACAAUUGAAGAGCAUUUAGCAUCUGAAGCUGAAAGCUUAGCGAAUGUUUUAGCAACUUUAUUAAGAAGCUUGAGGGUAUUUUCCCCUUGAACAGUAGAUUAUUAUGUAAAUUCAAGUAUACUUAUCAAAAGUAUGAAAGUUGAAAGUUUGGAAGUUAAAAUAGUGUUCAUUUUGAUGUCUCGAAUUUAGUUGCAAGGCUGUCCAAACAUGAUUUUUCGGAGAUGAUUAAACAAAGAUCGUUCAAUACGGUCCGUCAUGAUCAAGGUGUAUUCCAGCCAGACGAAAAUUCAUGAUUGAAAGCCUGUUUCAUUGAUGUGAAUUAGAGAAUUAAAAAAUAGUUUCCAUUAUAAACAAACUCAAGUGUUAUUGAUAGCUAAUUAUACUUCCAUUGUAUUCCUCGUGAAAUGCUGCGGAGUUUCAAUAUCUACACAUUUAUGAAUUUUGAUAAUUAUUUAAACAUAUCCCAAGCCCUAACAUAUCAAGUAUCGUGUACUACUUACAAGUCACUGAAUUAAUAAAUAUUUUUGAGACAUGUAAGUGUAAAAUUCGUAACGAAUGUAAAUAUACAAGAAUCAAAAUGUUGUUUACCUCAUUUGGAUUAAAUUAAUCCCCAUUAUCAUAUGCUGUUACCUUUUAAAUUAAUCUAGUCACUUUUUAUUUAGUUUUUAUAUAAAGUAAAGGUACCUACAAUAGUAAAUUACACGACCAAAUACGCAAUAUUUACCUAUAAUUAUUCAAAGUCUGACCUGUUAUACUUUUAAAUGUGAUAUUCAGGUACUCUAAUGUAGUAACAGUUUUAUUAAUAUUAUUAUUAUAGAAUGUUUUGAUAAAUAUGCAAAUGUUAACUAAUGUUAAGCACAGUUUUAUUAUUUGUUGCAGUUUAUUAUCUGUUUUAAUGUAUAAUGGUUAUACGUAUUUGGUAUAGUUUAGCUAGUGCCUAUUUGCAGCUACUCAAUGUAACCUUGUAUGUGUUUUUUUUUAUUUACGUGCACUAAGUAUUACCAGAGCACGUCUGUUUUAGGUUUCUAAUACGCAAGUUGUUAUGGAAUCGUUUUAAAAUUUAUAAAGUUUGAAAUUACUACACGCAAAUGAACCUUUUGCGCAUGGUAUAUAUAAUCAGUUUCGUAAUUAAUAUUUACUUCACAUAACGAAAAUUUACAAACAGCAAUAUCAACCUAUUAGCAUUUCAUAAGUAUGUUAUUUUUUUCAUAAAUUAUGCGGUACUGUCGCAUUUUUAGCCACUGUACCAAUUCGAUAAAUUUCAAGCUUCUAGUUACUGUUAUUUUAUAUGUAUGUAAAUACCUGACUAGGUACGUACCAAAAUCAAACCCUAGUAAUAAUUUGAAUUAAGCGUAUAUUUUAGUUGGAUUCGUUUGUCGCAAGUGCGAAUGCUUGAUGUACAAAAAAUAAUGUAAGAAAUAUUUCAAACUAAUUUGUAAAUAAUAUGUACUAUGAAUAUUAAUAACUAAAUGAAGGACAUAGCAUAAAUUGACGAAACCAAGUAUGUUAGAGAAAGGGAAACUUUGUACCUUAGAAGUGAAAUUGAUGUAGAAUAUCUAAUGCAAAAGUGUUGAGUAAAUGUUUAAUUAUGAUACAAGUUAUUGUUAACAUUAUCCAAACAAUGAUUAACUCAUUGCGAUUUUUUUAUACUUAUGCUAAUGAUUUAAAAAAAGGAACGUCAUAUCUUAACAUAUCCUGCAUUAAAUACAAAUAAAGUAUUUAAACCAA